rnacentral:rRNA from 3 species
UACGGAGGGUGCAAGCGUUAUCCGGAUUCACUGGGUUUAAAGGGUGCGUAGGCGGGCAGGUAAGUCAGUGGUGAAAUCCUGGAGCUUAACUCCAGAACUGCCAUUGAUACUAUCUGUCUUGAAUAUUGUGGAGGUAAGCGGAAUAUGUCAUGUAGCGGUGAAAUGCUUAGAUAUGACAUAGAACACCUAUUGCGAAGGCAGCUUACUACGCAUAUAUUGACGCUGAGGCACGAAAGCGUGGGGAUCAAACAGG